UACCAGCACCCCGAGUGGUCGGGACGAUUAUUGGGCCUAAAGCAUCCGUAGCCGGUUCUACAAGUCUUCCGUUAAAUCCACCUGCUCAACAGUUGGCUGCGGAGGAUACUAUAGAGCUAGGAGGCGGGAGAGGCAAGCGGUACUCGAUGGGUAGGGGUAAAAUCCGUUGAUCCAUUGAAGACCACCAGUGGCGAAGGCGGCUUGCCAGAACGCGCUCGACGGUGAGGGAUGAAGCUGGGGAGCAACCGGAUUAAGAU
rnacentral:rRNA from 1 species